CAUUACCUUGCAAAUUAAAAAGAACCAAGAUCCACAUUUAGAAUUAAAAUUUGAAGAGUGACAUGAUGAUGACAUUCUUGAAAUAUAAGCUUGCAUGAAGAUUGUUUCAUAUACAUACACUUAUGCUUGUGGGAAAAAUAUUCUGAUAGAAAAAUCAUAUUGACUAAGUUGUUGCGGAGUGUGACAUAGUUCUGGCGUAGAAACCCUACUAGUUCUAUUCAAGGCACUUGGAUAUUUUAUUUUAAUAAAAUUUUAUAAAACCAUAGUGUCACAUACUCCUCAAUGGUGAUAAAUUCCUACCAGAGCCAUAUAUAUAGGAUAGAAGCUGUCUACAUAUGCUACUUGCUGUUAUGUUGAGUGUGGUCAAAUUUUGUGAUCCUUUGAGAGAUUUAUCAUAUUCCCAAGAUCAAGAUUCACUUGCACCCACAUAUAUAUGCACCGCUCUUACAUUAGGAGUAGGCGCAAAACAUGCCUUCCAUUUAGAUCCACCCAAAAUGUCUCUCCCCUACACUGGGAGUGAACACUAAAAAUAUCCGUGAUAGGUUUUCCAUCCACUAAAUAAAUACUCCAAUUCUUGUUACUAUCUCUCAAAAGUCUUUGUUGUCAAAAAAGAGUCAUGAGCUAUGCAAAAGUUAUCAUAAAGAGAAGAAAAAAAUAGAGGGAGUUAAAAAAAAGGGGGACAAGUGUCCUAGAGAUAAAAAAAUGAGUACUCAGAUACUCACCUCCCUAAGAAAAAAAUAGUAACAUAGCUCAUGUUCUCUGACCAAGUUUUAAGAGAGAUAUAUUCAAGGAGUAUAGUAGAAUUAGGUUUCUCCAAUUCCACCAUAUAUCCACUAAAUAUCCACACACAUGCACAUCUUGAUCUAAGAGUAUGAUAUUUCGCUCCUCGGGUUCAGAUUUUGACUUUAUAAUAUAUGCAACAUAAGUAUGCCACAACAUCUAUCUCUACCUGAGCUCCACAUAAGCUAUUAGUUGUAGGAAGACAAGAGCAUAAUAAGAUACACCAUUGAGCGAUCGAAAGUACCAUUUGAGGAGUAAUAGUGAUCUAUGCUUUCCUUUUGUAAAAACUUUAAAAACUUCAAGUUGCUAAAAUGUGAAUCUGGGAAGAUGACUUUGCUUCGAGAGCUGUUCUACUUUUCAAACGCCCAAGGACAUAUGUUAGCCAAUGCCACAUAUCCCACUUGUGUGAGUAAUGUUUUGGAAUAAUUUUUAUGUUAACUAUAUAUUUCUAGAUUUUAUGAUAAUGAUUACUUUUAUCUUAACCUUUACUCGAGGACGAGCAAACAACA
rnacentral:lncRNA from 1 species